UUCAAACCUACUGCUCCCAUCGAUCUUUUGCCUUUGCCUAUGCAGGAACGUGUGAACUUUGAUGCAAGCAAGCAAGCUGAAUUUGUCAAGAACCUUCAUGAUCGAGCUCGAGUAAACAUUGAGAAGAUGAUCAAGCUGUACGAGCAGCGUGCAAAUAAAGGGCGCAAGAAGAUGUUGUUUGAACCAGGAGACUUGGUUUAGGUGCACUUACGCAAGGAUCGCUUUCCUGAACAACACAAGAGCAAGUUGCAGCCCUAGAGUCGAUGGUCCCUUUCAAAGUACUUCGAAAGAUCAAUAACAAUGCAUAUGAGAUUGAUCUUCCAAGUACAUAUGGUGUUAGUACGAGUUUCAAUGUCUCCGAUCUCUCUACAUUCUUUGGAUCAGAAGAGUCGAGGACGACUCCUUUUCAAGAGGGGGAGGAUGAUGAGGACAUGCCAAUGGUUACUCAAGUUACACAUAAGUAUGUCAGGAAAGUUUGGAUCAUCGUGUAUCUAUUUUUGGAGGCUCAUCACAACUGAGGCAGAUACCUGAACAGCACCAUGACCACCUCAAGAGUGUGAAGAUCACAGGUUUCAGCUCCGCUAAGGGCUUGGUUGAGCUAACAUGUUAUAUUCUCAAGAACACGAAGUCACUAGAUUGCCUUACACUGGACACCACUUAUGGUGAUCCCAAGUGUGAUACUGAAAUGUCUGGCGGCAGCUGCAUACCCAUGAGUAAGGGUUUUCUCAUUGAAUCCCGUAGAGGUGCUGCGGCUAUUAGAACAUACAUCGAGGAUAAAGUUCCGUCUACAGUUAAGCUGACUGUUGUGGAGCACUGCAGGCGGUGCCAUGCUGAUAAGUUAUCCUAAUAGUAGGUGGGAUGUGAAAUAGUUUCAUCUUACCUUUAGAUGAACUAUGCUUGCAGGGCCUGUUCAAUGUUUUAUCACAGUAGGUACGGUGUAAUGCAACAUGUAAUAUAUCUUUAGAGAAGAGGGUGACAUGCA